GGGCGGAUAGCUCAGCCGGUAGAGCAGCAGACUCUUAAUCUGCGGGUCCAGGGUUCGAUCCCCUGUCCGCUCA
rnacentral:tRNA from 1 species